ACGGAAGGCAGCAGUGGGGAAUAUUGCACAAUGGGGGAAACCCUGAUGCAGCGACGCCGCGUGAGUGAAGAAGUAUUUCGGUAUGUAAAGCUCUAUCAGCAAGGAAGAAAAUGACGGUACUUGACUAAGAAGCCCCGGCUAACUACGUGCCAGCAGCCGCGGUAAUACGUAGGGGGCAAGCGUUAUCCGGAUUUACUGGUGUAAAGGGAGCGUAGACGGUAAUGCAAGUCAGAAGUGAAAGCCCAAGGCUCAACCAUGGGACUGCUUUUGAAACUGUAAUACUAGAGUGCAGGAGAGGUAAGUGGAAUUCCUAGUGUAGCGGUGAAAUGCGUAGAUAUUAGGAGGAACACCAGUGGCGAAGGCGGCUUACUGGACUGUAACUGACGUUGAGGCUCGAAAGCGUGGGGAGCAAACAGGAUUAGAUACCCUGGUA
rnacentral:rRNA from 1 species